rnacentral:rRNA from 1 species
CCUACGGGUGGCAGCAGUGAGGAAUAUUGGUCAAUGGACGCGAGUCUGAACCAGCCAAGUAGCGUGAAGGAUGACUGCCCUACGGGUUGUAAACUUCUUUUAUAUGGGAAUAAAUUGUUCCACGUGUGGGUUUUUGUAUGUACUUUAUGAAUAAGGAUCGGCUAACUCCGUGCCAGCAGCCGCGGUAAUACGGAGGAUCCGAGCGUUAUCCGGAUUUAUUGGGUUUAAAGGGAGCGUAGGUGGGUUGUUAAUUCAGUUGGGAAAGUUUGCGGCUCAACCGUAAAAUUGCAGUUGAGACUGGCAGUCUUGAGUACAGUAGAGGUGGGCGGAAUUCGUGGUGUAGCGGUGAAAUGCUUAGAUAUCACGAAGAACUCCGAUUGCGAAGGCAGCUCACUGGACUGCAACUGACACUGAGGCUCGAAAGUGUGGGUAUCAAACAGGAUUAGAUACCCGGGUAGUC